GCACCUGAUUGAUUUUGGUCGCCAACGAGUGGCGGACGGGUGAGUAACACGUAGGUAACCUGCCCAGAAGCGGGGGACAACAUUUGGAAACAGAUGCUAAUACCGCAUAACAGCGUUGUUCGCAUGAACAACGCUUAAAAGAUGGCUUCUCGCUAUCACUUCUGGAUGGACCUGCGGUGCAUUAGCUUGUUGGUGGGGUAACGGCCUACCAAGGCGAUGAUGCAUAGCCGAGUUGAGAGACUGAUCGGCCACAAUGGGACUGAGACACGGCCCAUACUCCUACGGGAGGCAGCAGUAGGGAAUCUUCCACAAUGGGCGCAAGCCUGAUGGAGCAACACCGCGUGAGUGAAGAAGGGUUUCGGCUCGUAAAGCUCUGUUGUUAAAGAAGAACACGUAUGAGAGUAACUGUUCAUACGUUGACGGUAUUUAACCAGAAAGUCACGGCUAACUACGUGCCAGCAGCCGCGGUAAUACGUAGGUGGCAAGCGUUAUCCGGAUUUAUUGGGCGUAAAGAGAGUGCAGGCGGUUUUCUAAGUCUGAUGUGAAAGCCUUCGGCUUAACCGGAGAAGUGCAUCGGAAACUGGAUAACUUGAGUGCAGAAGAGGGUAGUGGAACUCCAUGUGUAGCGGUGGAAUGCGUAGAUAUAUGGAAGAACACCAGUGGCGAAGGCGGCUACCUGGUCUGCAACUGACGCUGAGACUCGAAAGCAUGGGUAGCGAACAGGAUUAGAUACCCUGGUAGUCCAUGCCGUAAACGAUGAGUGCUAGGUGUUGGAGGGUUUCCGCCCUUCAGUGCCGGAGCUAACGCAUUAAGCACUCCGCCUGGGGAGUACGACCGCAAGGUUGAAACUCAAAGGAAUUGACGGGGGCCCGCACAAGCGGUGGAGCAUGUGGUUUAAUUCGAAGCUACGCGAAGAACCUUACCAGGUCUUGACAUCUUGCGCCAACCCUAGAGAUAGGGCGUUUCCUUCGGGAACGCAAUGACAGGUGGUGCAUGGUCGUCGUCAGCUCGUGUCGUGAGAUGUUGGGUUAAGUCCCGCAACGAGCGCAACCCUUGUUACUAGUUGCCAGCAUUAAGUUGGGCACUCUAGUGAGACUGCCGGUGACAAACCGGAGGAAGGUGGGGACGACGUCAGAUCAUCAUGCCCCUUAUGACCUGGGCUACACACGUGCUACAAUGGACGGUACAACGAGUCGCGAACUCGCGAGGGCAAGCAAAUCUCUUAAAACCGUUCUCAGUUCGGACUGCAGGCUGCAACUCGCCUGCACGAAGUCGGAAUCGCUAGUAAUCGCGGAUCAGCAUGCCGCGGUGAAUACGUUCCCGGGCCUUGUACACACCGCCCGUCACACCAUGAGAGUUUGUAA
rnacentral:rRNA from 2 species